rnacentral:rRNA from 1 species
CGGGGGGCAGCAGUGGGGAAUUUUGGACAAUGGGGGAAACCCUGAUCCAGCCAUGCCGCGUGAGUGAAGAAGGCCUUCGGGUUGUAAAGCUCUUUCGGCCGGGACGAAAUCGCAUGGGGUAAUAUCCCGUGUGGAUGACGGUACCGGAAUAAGAAGCACCGGCUAACUACGUGCCAGCAGCCGCGGUAAUACGUAGGGUGCGAGCGUUAAUCGGAAUUACUGGGCGUAAAGCGUGCGCAGGCGGUUUUGUAAGCCAGAUGUGAAAUCCCCGGGCUUAACCUGGGAACUGCAUUUGGGACUGCAAGGCUAGAGUACGGCAGAGGGGGGUAGAAUUCCUGGUGUAGCAGUGAAAUGCGUAGAUAUCAGGAGGAAUACCGAUGGCGAAGGCAGCCCCCUGGGUUGAUACUGACGCUCAUGCACGAAAGCGUGGGGAGCAAACAGGAUUAGAUACCCCAGU